GCACGAGAGGGGCAUCCCACGGACUCUGUACCAACAACAGUAGUGUAGCGCGGACCCCUUUGUCGAGGAUACGAGCGCUCUCGGAAACGGACACGCAGGAAAGGGGGGGAACGAACGUUGCGGGUGUUGGUGUGUGUGUGUGUGCUAAGCACCAGUGAAGGUGAAGGUGCCGCAUUAUGAUUGCUUGGACGAGGCACCACCACGCGCGUUGUGCAAGCCUUCUUCGGUACAGAGGGGAGGUGUUGCACUUUUCCGCGGAUGCACAGACCGGGCUGGUUCGCCUCGUCGCAUGCCUAUGCGACAGCACUGCAGCCACCCCGAGUGGCGCCGGCGUUGCUGCAGUGAGGGACGAAGAGGCCAGGCUGUGGAGCCAAGAAGCGUGCCGCGCGCAAUGUGUGCCCUUCUCCUCUAAACAGGUAUUUGUUUCUGCGGCCCCUUUGAGUGCAGAUACGACACAGGACGAGGACGUCCUGGAAGCGACAGCGGCAUGCAUUUUUCCCUGCUACAUCUCGUGUGGCUGUCCAGUAGUUGUGCAGGUGUCGCCUGGACACCACAACUCAAAUUCCUCCGAGGCCGAGGUGAUGUCAGUGAGUUGCGCCCCACCCUCGUUGCGUGUGAAGCGCCUCUAUGUGCACAAUCCUGCUGGCAGCAAACAAGGCACCCAUGAUGCCCACACGGCUUCUUACUACGCGCGCCUACCAGAUGCCAGUUUUCAGUGCUGGCAGGAACACAGCAAAGCCGUCGACGGUAUUCUGGACGUGUGCAAAGGACGACCUGACUCAGCCCUGCACAAGCGUUUUACGGGACUAUCCAGCCUUGACGUUGAGGUGUUGGAGUUGCUGAACCUGACCAAGACUCUCGGGUGUGCCACCGGCGGCAGCGGCACCGCUUCUGUGGACUUCACUCGCAACACGUGUGGUGAGACAGCACUUUAGAGGGGUGCCCUCUGAGCCAACGAUGUGAGGCCCAACUCCUCGCAUGUGCGUGCGCUCGUAUCGCAAGGUAAAGAGCCGGAAAAAAAAAGAGAGAAAGUCAACGCCGUGGCCAGAAACAGGCAAGCACGCCCUUUCGGUGGCGCAAUGCUUUGCUCAUGAGGCAGUUCUGCCCCCCCCCCUAUUUGUGUGUGUUUGUUUGCGGGUGUGCCGUCGUGAGUUGCCUCCGCGUCCGCCAUCCUUUGUCCACAAGUUUAUCAUCUGCUCCUGCUACUGCUGCGUGUCUGCACAGAGAGAGUGCUUUGCAGAAAAAAAGAAGAAAGCGUCAACACCACACGAAACAGUGCAAUCCUCUCAUGCCCACUGUGCGAGAUUAGGGGUGAGAUGGAGAAGCAGCGGGCGAUCCGGUGCUGUGCACAUUGGGGCGUCUGCCUUCUGUUCCCCUGCGUUCAGCUCGCCCCUAUCUUUCCUGGAUUCCUUGUGACGUGUGAGACAGCAAGUGAGCUUUUGGGGCACAAUAAGAAUGCUGAGUGAGCAAAGAGAGGGAGGCUCUAUUUGAGUGGAUGUGGAGGAGUGCGGAAGGCUGUGGAGGAGAGCGAGGGCUGGGGUGUGUGACAAGGGAGGGGGUGGUGCAGCAACGCUGUGGCGUGCAACAGGUGAGGUCUGUUUUUUUUUUUUUUCUGACCCUCCUUCCCCCCUCCUAGCCUCUUUCUGCUCGAUCCUUGCCAUUUCUCUCGGUAUUGCCUCUCCUCUGUUUGCCCUCACGUACGUCCCACCUCCCUCAUUUCUUUUUCUUCCCGUGCGCGCUACCUCCGUGCCGCUGCCGACUUGGUACGCCCCAAUGGUGAAGAACAACACAUGUGCA
rnacentral:misc_RNA from 1 species